rnacentral:rRNA from 1 species
AUGGAGUGCUCGCCUCGCCGGCUGCUUGACAGAAGGGAGGCGCUGCAGUGGGCAGUGGGGCGGGGGAGACUUCGGUGGGCUCUGCGCGCGGCAGCGAUCUGGCGGUCAAGAAAAACUAAAGCCGAGCAAAUGAAGUUCUUAAACUUGACUAAUUCGGCCCUACUAUCGAUGGCUCCUCUCCCUUCUCCCCCUUCGUCCCCUCGCGUGCCGCUCCCCUCCUCCCCCCUGCCCUCGCCGUGGCCCAUGGCUCCCCCCUCCCCCCUCCCCUUCCUUCCCUCCCGCCACCCCCUCCCCCCCCGUCUUCUGCGAUCGGAUUCUGACUCGGCGGAGGAUGCCUCGUCGGGUGUGGUCUCGAUGGUGCCGCCCGUGCUGGCGCCGGGCCACGUCCGGAAAUUUGCUCCGGGUGGCAGGGGUCGGCCGGUGUCGUUUCCCUCUGGGUCGUCUGGGUGGUGGUGCGUUGGCUGGCGACGGCGCCGUGCGGGACGGGGCCCGGCACCCUCUCCUGAGUGUGGUAUCCUCGGUUCCUCCCCGUCCGCCGGCCUGUUGGAUUUGGGUGUUGGUGCUUCUCCGGUCGCUUGUCCUAUUCGCCCUCCUCCUCGCCGGCCUGGGCCGGUGGCGGCGGCGGCGGCUUCGCCGGUGUGUGCGGGGGCGGGCGGUGGCCAAAACCUAGAUCCGGUCUGUUCUUUGGUCGAAAUGGGCCUUGGUGAGCUCGUGGGCCUAGCGGUGCCUGGAUCGUCUCGAGCUGGGCCGCCCAGGCCCCCGGCUCUGUCGUCCCUCGUGUCGUUUCCCCCCUCUCGUCUAUGGGCCCGGGGUAGUUGGUUGUGGCCACUGCUCCGCGUCCGCCCCCUUCCCGAGCCUGCGAUCCCGUUACGGCCCACUCGGCCCUCUCUGGCCUGGCCUGUUGUGGGUAUUUAUGGGUGCGUCGCGGCGCUUCCCCCCCCCUUCCUAGGGUUUCCGGCGUCCGCCGCUGAUAUCCGCAGGGUGCGUCGCCCUAUCCGCCAGUUCUCCAGAUCCGCUCCCUCCCCACCCCCACUUCUUCUCUCCUUCGCUGAGGUGACCGCCAUGGACAAAUCUCGGGGUUCCUCCUCCGAGGCCCUUUCGGGUAGCAAGCGUGCCCGUGAAGCGUCGCCGGGCGAUGGGGUCGAUCUGGCCUAUGAGGCGGAGCUGCGGUCCAAGCUCGAAUCGGAGCGGGCGCUGCGCGUGCUGCCUUCUGAGCGGGAGGAGUGGGAGGUGGGGGCGGAGCGCUCCGUGGCCAGAUCUGGGUCGGCGGUCCCUUGCGCGGGGCUGGAUCCGUGGGAGGCCGCUGCUGCUUCGGCUGGCGGUGGUUCCUCCUCGUCGACGCCGCGCCCAGCUCCGGCCAGGGGCCCGAUCCCUCCGCCUCGGCCCCCUCCCCGCUCGUUUGCGGCGGGCGGUGCCUCUCGCUCGGGGCCGCGCUUCGGGCCUGGCUCCUCCUCUUCGCACGCCGGGGAUCGGCGCCCCCCUCCUCCUGCUUCGGGUCCCCCUUCUGCGGUCCGUGGCGAUGGCAUCCUGCCGCCGCCACCGCCUCCCCCUCCUCGCCAGCAUCCUGCCUCCUCGGGCCCCUCACCGACCCUGACUUGCUUUGCGUGCCACCGCCCGAAUCACUUCCAAUCUAGAUGCACUAAUCCACCCUUCUGCCUCAUCUGCCGCUCGGACGGCCAUCUCACUGUCGACUGUCGUAACCGUACCAAGAUUCCCUCUUUCAUCCAGUUUGGCUUGGGUAUUCCCGGAUGUUCUUUCUUCGCUCUAGAUGCUGAUGUUCCUGUGGUGAUGGUUGCGCCGUCCCUCUCUAAUGCGGCCAUCGUCACGGUGUGUGGUCAGCUGAUCUCUCCGCAGACCCUCUUGGAUGGCUUGAAAAUUUGGGACGAUGGUGGCUGGGAUUGGCAGGUGUGCCAGCUUUCAGAGUAUGAAUUCGCAGUGGUUUUUUCCUCUAAGGACUGUCUACGGAUGAUCUCCUCGUGCACCAGUUUUACCCUCCCCCUCAACCAGCUUGUGGUUUCUGUCAAAGCAGCUACUUGUGGUGCCAAGGCGGUGGGCCCGCUUAGCAAGAUCUGGGUGCUAGUUGACGACGUGCCCGUAGGGCUUCGAUCUGUGGAGUUCAUGAUGGCGUUUGGUAAGCUCAUUGGCAAGCCCAUGGAGGUGGAUUCGGAAUCCCUGGGCAAGGUUGGCCCGGUUCGUCUCAAUGUCUGGUGCAUCGACCCCGUUUGUGUUCAUGGCUCUGUGGAUGUCUUCCCUUCUCCUGAGGGUGUGCGACUACGGGUUCGGGUGGAGGGUGCAGAACCCCGUGCUCCCCCUCCACCCCCGCCUCCUCCUUCCAAACCUUCGGACCAGGACAAGGAUGGCACACAGGGGGAUGGGUCGGCUGGGGGGCAGAACCCAAGUCGAGGAACUAAUCUGCGUUUCACACAGUCUGAAUGGGAUAAGCUGGAUUCGGAUGAACGCGAGCUGCUCAAGGACAAUGCCCCUGCCCCUAACCCUCAGAAGGAGGACUUGGCUUCUCGUGCCACUGGUGCUGCUUCCCCCUUGCGCUCCACCGAGCCCUCAACUAAGAAGAAGAAGAAGUCUUCGGUCCGGAAAUUUUCGACUAAGAGUCGGGCCUCCUCCACUUCCAAGCUGUCGGCAACGGGUCUGGCUCGGCGUCUGGACAAGGACCUGGGCUCCGUCUCGGGGUCUGGCCCUGGGCCGGCGUCGCCGAUUCGGUGCUCCCCUGUGCUGCACUCUCCGGCAUCCACGGCGCGGAAGGGUCGGCGUGUGCGCGACUCUGGCGUCUCGGUGGCGGUGCGGGCGGAGCGGCGUGCCGCGGCCAAGGACCUCCCUCCUUCAGGUUCGUCUGCCCAACCAUCUCUCCCUGCCUCCCCUGUUCGCCUUGUUUUACCAGCUCUGUCAGAUGACCAUUUGCUGCAUAUCAUGUCUGAUAUUGGGGUGGCUGCGAUACCGGGGAUGAGCUCCCCUUCUCACCUUCUUUCUGUCAUUAGGGCCAAUGAGGCAGCCCAGGCUGCCAUUGCUAAGGCCGUUGAGGCCGCGAAAGGUGUUGGUCCUGCUGGUGCUCAGGGCCAAGCCGGGGGGCUGGAGGCGACAAAUGGUUGUGGCCAGUCGUCGCCCCCCCCCCCCCGGUCCUUGCUAAGGUGGGGCGUCCCAAGCGAUCUAAGCCUUGUGGGGCUCCGUGCAGAUCGAGUCUCCGUAUUAAAAACCUUUCCUUCAAAUGAGAGCUCUAUUCUGGAAUAUUCGUGGUUUCGGUGCUGGGGGCGCCGUGACCAGAUUCAUGACUUGGUUUGUGGUGAACAUAUUGACAUUUUAGGGCUGGUCGAAACGUUCAAGGAAUCAUUUUCCCCUUCUGAACUCUCUGCGAUAGCUGGGAUGGAUAGGUUUGAUUGGCACCUUCUCCCCGCCUCGGGCCACUCUGGGGGAAUCUUGAUUGGGUCCAAGCGGGACGUUUUUGAUUUCAUUACUUUUGAUCAUGGCGUCUUUUGGGCUAGCUGUGUGGUUCAUCAUCGUCAGCUCAACACUUUGUGGGAAUUUAUGGUGGUUUAUGGCCCUGCGGAUCACACGCUUGCUCCUCUCUUUUUGGACGAACUAUCGACUAAGAUUGAAACAUGUUCUAUUCCUCUACUAAUUGGGGGUGAUUUCAAUUUGUUACGUUCUCCGGCCGACAAGAAUAAUCCUAAUUUCUCCUGGCCUCUUGCCAAUGCUUUUAAUGAUUUCAUCAGUAACUGCGCGUUGCGUGAGCUCCCUAGGGUGGGGGCGCGUUUCACCUGGUCUAACCAUCAAUCCUCGCCUGUCCGGUCGGUGCUGGACAGGGUUUUUGUUUCUGUUCAGUGGGACUCGCUAUUUCCUCGCGCGUUGCUUAAGGCUAGGCCUGCGGUGGGCUCUGAUCAUGUUCCCCUGAUCCUGGAUGCGGGUAUCCUCUCUCUUGUUUCUCCCUCCCGUUUCCAGUUUGAUGCUUCUUGGCUUGUUGUGGAGGGUUUUUGCGACAUGGUGGCUUCUAAGAUCACUAAUCUUCUCUCCUCUCCUCACCGCUCCUUUGGCCCCUUGGAUGAUUGGCACAAGCUAUCUUAUGAGUUGCGUAAAUUCUUAAGGGGGUGGUCUCGGAAUAGGGCGGCCGAGUUGCGUAGAGACAAGGAGUCCCUCGAAUCUCAAAUCCGGGAUUUGGACCUAUCUGCUGACACAUCUGGGCUCUCACCUUCUCAGUGGGCUUCUCGCUACUCCCUGGAAGACGCUCUGUUGCUGCUCCACCAACAGUCAGAGAUUUACUGGCGCCAACGAGGUGCCCUUAACUGGACCUUAAAAGGGGAUGCUAUGACGGCCUAUUUUUUUGCGAUCGCGAAUGGCAGACGCCGCAGGUGUUUCAUUGACACUCUGUUGAUUGACGGUGUUAGAGUUUCUGACCAGUCCCCCAUUAUGAAUCACAUUGUUAGUUUCUAUUCUACUCUACUCGGCUCUAAGCCGGACCCUGGGCUUGGCCUUUGUCCUGACUUUUGGGGUGAGGGGUCUAAGAUCUCUCCGGACGAAAAUUCGGACCUGAUGGUUCCCUUAUCUGAUGAUGAGAUUUGGCAGGGUAGAUAUAAUACGAACGCUGGUAAAGUGGCCCUAAUUAAUGCUUGUCUCUCCUCCCUCCCCAUGUUCCUUAUGGGCUUCUUUCUCUUGUCGGCUGGGAUUCAUGCUGGUUUUGACAAACACCGUGGGGCGUUUUACUCGAAUGCUGCGGACAACCGUCGCAAAUAUCGCUUCGUCAAAUGGAAAUUGAUGUGCAGGCCCAAAAACCUUGUGGGGUUAGGGAUUCUCAAUACUUCCAUCAUGAAGCAAUGCUUGAUGAUUAAAUGGUGGUGGAAGAUUAUGAGCGCUGAGGAUCAACCCCUUUGGCUGUUGAUCCUUAAGGCUAAAUAUUUCCCAUCCUCAAGCCCGAUGUUCGCUCUGCCGCGUGGUGGCUCUCAGUUUUGGAAGUCUCUGGUCAAAGUUAGACCUGUUUUUCAAUCUUUUGUUAAGUUUGUUGUUGGGGAUGGUUCCUCUAUUCGGUUUUGGCUUGAUUGGUGGUGUGGAGAUUCACCUCUCUCGGUGACCUUCCCUACCCUUUUCUCUUACUGCUCUGAACCUAAUAUUUCUAUUGCGAAGCUUGCUUCCCAGGGAUGGAACCUGGCCUUCCGUCGCUCUCUAUCGCCUGUAGAGUUUGAAGAUUGGCAACGUCUUACUGCCCUCUUCCCUACGCUCUCGACGGUUAGGGACUCGGUGCUCUAG